UGGCCGCAAAUGUUCAGCUAUCAGGCGCUACAUUUACUACGGACAGUUCAGCUGAACACCCCUGAAGAUGAAUUCAGAAUCCUGAAUAUUUCUAUAUUUCCCCACCACUGGACACAAGGCCUCAUUAAAGAAAACUGCAAAUCGUGAGGUUUCUUGGAGGUGUUGUUGUGGAUGCUGUCAUGCACAUUGCCGCAGGUGUGGAUGAGCACGCGCAUGUGAAUCUCAAGCGGUAUCACAGCAUCAACGCACAGGUGGACAUGAUUAUGAAGCGUCCUGUCAUAGCCAGCAUAUCACCCUGAAGUGUGUGUGUGACUUGGUCUUUCUAUCUCAGUGAUGUUGAAAAGUGGCAACAAUUACAUGCAGCUUAGCACAUUUAGGAGAACAUCCUGGACAAGGAGGAGGAUGAUUUCUUACCCAGAUGGGAGGCCAGAGUGGAACAACAGACGGACUGGCUGUUGGGAUGGAAAAAAAUGUUGUGCCCGGCUGGUGUAAUAUAAUAAAUGGACCCGUGGGAGCUGAGAGUCGGGAGCUGUUCCACCUACCAUAUUCCAGGUGACAACAACAACAACAACAACAUUUAUUUAUAUAGCACAUUUUCAUACAAA